rnacentral:rRNA from 1 species
CACGUAGGGUGCGAGCGUUGUCCGGAAUUAUUGGGCGUAAAGAGCUCGUAGGCGGUGUGUCGCGUCGGCCGUGAAAACCUGCAGCUUAACUGUGGGCUUGCGGUCGAUACGGGCAUCACUGGAGUUCGGCAGGGGAGACUGGAAUUCCUGGUGUAGCGGUGAAAUGCGUAGAUAUCGGGAGGAACACCAGUGGCGAAGGCGGCUAGCUGGCCUGUAACUGACGCUGAGGCGCGAAGGCUAGGGGAGCGAACAGG